rnacentral:rRNA from 1 species
UUUAGCAGAUAGAGUUUGAUCCUGGCUCAGGAUGAACGCUGGCUGUGUGCCUAAUACAUGCAUGUCGAGCGAGGUUCUUUUGAACCUAGCGGCGAAUGGGUGAGUAACACGUGCUUAAUCUACCCUUUAGAUUGGAAUACCCAAUGGAAACAUUGGCUAAUGCCGGAUACGCAUGGAAUCGCAUGAUUCCGUUGUGAAAGGAGCCUUUAAAGCUCCGCUAGAGGAUGAGGGUGCGGAACAUUAGUUAGUUGGUAGGGUAAUGGCCUACCAAGACUAUGAUGUUUAGCCGGGUCGAGAGACUGAACGGCCACAUUGGGACUGAGAUACGGCCCAAACUCCUACGGGAGGCAGCAGUAGGGAAUAUUCCACGAUGAGCGAAAGCUUGAUGGAGCGACACAGCGUGCACGAUGAAGGUCUUCGGAUUGUAAAGUGCUGUUAUAGGGAAAGAACACCUGGUUGAGGAAAUGCUUCCAGGCUGACGGUACCCUGUCAGAAAGCGAUGGCUAACUAUGUGCCAGCAGCCGCGGUAAUACAUAGGUCGCAAGCGUUAUCCGGAAUUAUUGGGCGUAAAGCGUUCGUAGGCUGUUUAUUAAGUCUGGAGUCAAAUCCCAGGGCUCAACCCUGGCUCGCUUUGGAUACUGGUAAACUAGAGUUAGAUAGAGGUAAGCGGAAUUCCAUGUGAAGCGGUGAAAUGCGUAGAUAUAUGGAAGAACACCAAAGGCGAAGGCAGCUUACUGGGUCUAUACUGACGCUGAGGGACGAAAGCGUGGGGCGCAAACAGGAUUAGAUACCCUGGUAGUCCACGCCGUAAACGAUGAUCAUUAGUCGGUGAAGAGUUCACUGACGCAGCUAACGCAUUAAAUGAUCCGCCUGAGUAGUAUGCUCGCAAGAGUGAAACUUAAAGGAAUUGACGGGGACCCGCACAAGCGGUGGAGCAUGUGGUUUAAUUUGAAGAUACGCGGAGAACCUUACCCACUCUUGACAUCCUUCGCAAUGCUAUAGAGAUAUAGCGGAGGUUAACGGAGUGACAGAUGGUGCAUGGUUGUCGUCAGCUCGUGUCGUGAGAUGUUUGGUCAAGUCCUGCAACGAGCGCAACCCCUAUCUUUAGUUACUAACGAGUCAUGUCGAGGACUCUAGAGAUACUGCCUGGGUAACUGGGAGGAAGGUGGGGAUGACGUCAGAUCAUCAUGCCUCUUACGAGUGGGGCAACACACGUGCUACAAUGGUCGGUACAAAGAGAAGCAAUAUGGCGACAUGGAGCAAAUCUCAAAAAGCCGAUCUCAGUUCGGAUUGGAGUCUGCAAUUCGACUCCAUGAAGUCGGAAUCGCUAGUAAUCGCAGAUCAGCUACGCUGCGGUGAAUACGUUCUCGGGUCUUGUACACACCGCCCGUCACACCAUGGGAGCUGGUAAUACCCAAAGUCGGUUAGCUAACCUCGGAGGCGACCGCCUAAGGAAGGACUGGUGACUGGGGUGAAGUCGUAACAAGGUAUCCCUACG